UAAAAAUGUAAAAACGUUGGACUUUCAGAGACUCCUUUUCUUGUCCUGAAUAGCAGCUUAGCCGAUCCUACCUUGCCAUGUCUUCGUUCAAAAUGCUGACCUGCUUUCUUGGAAUCAUGUUCAUGCUGACGUAUAAAUCCGAUGUGACCAAUGCAUACCCUCAUCAAUGGAGUUUGCAGGUGGUAUGCAACAGACAAACGCCCUGCACUCCUAGUACUGUCGACCAGAACUGCGGUCCAGGCUGCCGCUGUGUGUAUUACAGGCCUCCAGGCCCGCAGUCCAAGACAGGGCCGGCACAAAUGACUUGCUCCGCCUGAGAAAACUGAAGUAUGGCAAUAAUAAUUCCCAUCGCACGAAAAUAAACCAGAAGAACUUGUAAAUUCAGAGAGGAAAAUGUUGUGAAAACUUCACCUUACCUAUUAAGUAUGCGAGUGCGCAUGUACGUGCGCACGUCUGCGUCUGCCCCAUUCUUGUUUUGAUUUAUUUCCCCCAAAACACCGUAUUCUUGAUUAGCGUCGCAGGAUCGCAGCCAAAUAGCCCCCGACGCACUUUUGUGGGGUCGAAUUAAUAAAUAUUUGGCAAUAAUUACACUAGAUACUUUAAAACUUUCCCUGGUGUUACCGAUACCAGGGACCUUACUUCCUGCAAAUCGAAACAUGAUGUCACAUUUCCCCCUAAUAAAAAAUGUGGAAGAUCUAA